rnacentral:rRNA from 1 species
GUUUAACGGCCGCGGUAUCAUAACCGUGCAAAGGUAGCGUAAUCACUUGUCUUCUAAAUAAAGACCUGUAUGAAUGGCAACAUGAAAGUCAAACUGUCUCCUGCACCCAAUCAAUGAAACUGAUCUCCCAGUACAAAAGCUGAGAUAUAACCACAAGACGAAAAGACCCUGCGGAGCUUCAAACCUACAGCUAAUUAAACAACAAACAAACCUACUUUUAGGCAUAGUCAAAAAUUACAAUAGCCUAAACUUUAAGUUGGGGCGACUAUGGAGUAACACACAACCUCCACGAAACCAGACUAACACCCUGACACACGGCCUACAAGCCCAGUACCAAAAUAUAGAUCCAGUAACACUGAUAAUCGGACCAAGUUACCCCAGGGAUAACAGCGCCAUCCCCCUUAAGAGUCCCUAUCGCCAGGGGGGCUUACGACCUCGAUGUUGGAUCAGGACACCCCAGCAGUGUAGCCGCUGCUAAAGGUUCGUUUGUUCAACGAUUAAUGUCCUA